rnacentral:misc_RNA from 1 species
AACGCACAUUGCGCCCGGCAGCAAUCUGCCGGGCAUGCCUGUCCGAGCGUCAUUUCUGCCCUCGAGCGCGGUUCGGCCCCUAGCGGGCCGUCCGCCGCCCGGUGUUGGGGCGCUGCGGGCCCUCGUGCCCGCAGGCCCUGAAAUGAAGUGGCGGUCCCGCCGCGGCGCCCCCUGCGUAGUAGUAAAGCACCUCGCAUCGGGUCCCGGCGGAGGCCAGCCGUCGAACCUCUUUCUCUUGAUGGUUUGACCUCGGAUCAGGUAGGGUUACCCGCUGAACUUAA